rnacentral:rRNA from 1 species
GAUGAACGCUGGCGGCGUGCCUAAUACAUGCAAGUCGAGCGAACGGACGAGAAGCUUUCUUCUCUGAUGUUAGCGGCGGACGGGUGAGUAACACGUGGAUAACCUACAUAUAAGACUGGGAUAACUUCGGGAAACCGUAGCUAAUACCGGAUAAUAUUUUGAACCGCAUGGUUCAAAAGUGAUAGACGGUCUUGCUGUCACUUAUAGAUGGAUCCGCGCUGCAUUAGCUAGUUGGUAAGGUAACGGCUUACCAAGGCGACGAUGCAUAGCUGACCUGAGAGGGUGAUCGGCCACACUGGAACUGAGACACGGUCCAGACUCCUACGGGAGGCAGCAGUGGGGAAUCUUCGGCAAUGGGCGAAAGCCUGAUCGAGCAAUGCCGCGUGGGUGAAGAAGGUCUUCGGAUCGUAAAACUCUUUUAUUAGGGAAGAACAUAUGCGUAUGAAUCCCUCCCUGUCUUGACGGUACCUAAACAGAAAGCCACGGCUAACUUCGUG